rnacentral:rRNA from 1 species
AACGUGAGAGAGUAGCAAUAUUCUUGAAAGUGGCGAACGGGUGAGUAACACGUGGAUAACCUGCCCUGGAGUGGGGGAUAACAACUAGAAAUGGUUGCUAAUACCGCAUGAGGCUGAGGUGACGGGAGUCAUUUCAGCGAAAACUCUGGUGCUUCAGGAGGGGUCUGCGGCCGAUUAGCUAGUUGGUGGGGUAACGGCCUACCAAGGCGUCGACGGGUAGCUGGUCUGAGAGGACGAUCAGCCACACUGGGACUGAGACACGGCCCAGACUCCUACGGGAGGCAGCAGUGGGGAAUCUUGCGCAAUGGGCGAAAGCCUGACGCAGCAACGCCGCGUGCGGGAUGAAGGCCUUCGGG